rnacentral:rRNA from 1 species
UACGAAGGUGGCAAGCGUUGUUCGGAUUUACUGGGCGUAAAGGGAGCGUAGGUGGUUAGGUAAGCCCUCCGGGAAAUCUUCAGGCUCAACCUGAAAAGGUCGGGGGGGACUGCCUAGCUAGAGGGCGGGAGAGGAGCGCGGAAUUCCCGGUGUAGCGGUGAAAUGCGUAGAGAUCGGGAGGAAGGCCGGUGGCGAAGGCGGCCUGCUGGGCAGUGGCUGACGCUGAGGCGCGACAGCGUGGGGAGCAAACAGG